rnacentral:lncRNA from 1 species
AGACCAAUGAGUAUGGAACAACCACCAAUGACAGAUCAAAAAGUAUGGAAAAAAACACCAAUGACCGACCAAAGUGUAUGGAACAACUACCAUUGACAGACUAGGGUAUGGAACCAGAAAAUAACAAAUCACAGCUGAAAUAAUGAAACGGGCCAGAGCACAGGACCACUAUUGACAGACCAAAGUAUGGUAUAACCAAUACUUAAAGGCCCCAAAAAAUGGAAGCAACACAACAGAAAACAAAGCAAUCAGAAGACCAAAUCACAAACUGUAAAACAUAAGGUGAAACAACCAAUCAAAACCGGCCACUGAGGACGAAAACACAACAUUCAGCAGAGCGCUAUGAAUAAGACAACCACAGACAAUAGUCCACAGCGGAUGGAACCACAACCCAGGCCACGACUACAGAGAAUUGGGACUACAAGUAACGAUAGAUUACAGAGGCUAUGGCAACCAUUCAUGGCUGAUAAAGGAAUAGAACACCCAGUAACUACAGAAGGAAUUCUUUACCAGAGUCUAGUUUAUGUGUCGAUAGCACCGAUUCCUUACAAAACAGCUAAUAGGAUGCAGAAAUGCUGUACAACAGACUAUAAUACAUGGCCACACAGGACAGACCAAAGGAUAUGGAACAGACCAGAGGAUGGAUAGAGCAUAGCUGAAAUAAUGAAACAAAACACAGGACCACUAAUGCUGACCAAAGUAUGGUAUAACCACUAGCAUCAGACCAGAGGAGGAGACAGCAAUACUAAAAUGCCCACAAAAGAUGGAAGCAACAACGACGACAGAAAGCAAAGCAAUCAGAAGAUGGCACCACAAUGUAAGACGGACCAGAGCAUAUGGCGACCUAGGACAGACCAAAUAGCAUGGAACAAGUACCAAAUACAGACCAGAAGAUGGCACCACAAUGUAUGGUAUAACCACUAGCAUCGGAUCAGAGGAGGAGACAGCAAUACGAUGACAGAAAGCAAGGAAAGCAAUUAGAAGAUGGAACCACUUAUAGGACAAACCAGAGCAUAUGACGACGUAGGACCAAAUAGUAUGCAACAAGCACAAAAUACAGACCAGAAGAUAUACCAAACUCUACAAAUGCCAAACACAACACAAAACACGGAAAGCAAAAUUAAUAGAACACGGCCUUCGUCACAUAACUCCAGAAGAUGGAACCAAAACGUAAGAUGAACCAAAACAAAGAGCCCCGAGUGAUAGAACAAAGAGUAUGGUACAACCACCAGCAACAGACAACGGCGGACAGAACCACAACUUAUGGCAACCCAUAAUGGAUGUGAAACACAGCAAAGUAUCGCAAGGCACUCCAUUGUACCACCCCCAACGGACAUGACAACGAUGUGUAUCCUGUAUUCCCGGUAUCUACAAAAUCUCCACUUGUGCACAAGCAGGCUGCUGAAAAAUAUCUGUAAAUUUGAACCUGUAACCUGGGACGGAUUGGUAUAUGGAGGUGUUCACUUUGACCUGAAGACAUUUGAUCCUGAAGUUACAAAACUAUGUGUUUUUGUUAGGAUCUUAUCUAAAUAUUGUCAGUCAUUUGAUGAAGGGCUAUGCAUAGAAAAAAAGGUUUUAAAGAAAUAAUUCAA